UCCAGGGUAGCCUAGUGGACAUGGCAUCUGCCCGGUAAGCGGAACAUUGUGGGUUCGAUUCCCAUACCUGAAC
rnacentral:tRNA from 1 species